GCAUGAGUUGGAUUAUUAGCAGCCCUAUCCCCCUGGGUCUCUCAUAGUGUCACAUGCCAGAAUAAGCUGUGGCUCCAAACUGUUGCAUGGCCUCUGCCUGUAGGUUGCUGGCUCUGAAGUGAGUUGCACAAUG
ensembl:snoRNA